AUUGAACGCUGGCGGCAGGCCUAACACAUGCAAGUCGAGCGGUAGCACAGAGAGCUUGCUCUCGGGUGACGAGCGGCGGACGGGUGAGUAAUGUCUGGGAAACUGCCUGAUGGAGGGGGAUAACUACUGGAAACGGUAGCUAAUACCGCAUAACGUCGCAAGACCAAAGUGGGGGACCUUCGGGCCUCAUGCCAUCAGAUGUGCCCAGAUGGGAUUAGCUGGUAGGUGGGGUAACGGCUCACCUAGGCGACGAUCCCUAGCUGGUCUGAGAGGAUGACCAGCCACCCUGGAACUGGGACACGGUCCAGACUCCCACGGGAGGCAGCAGUGGGGAGUAUGGCACAAUGGGCGCAAGCCUGAUGCAGCCAUGCCGCGUGUGGGAAGAAGGCCUUCGGGUUGUAAAGCACUUUCAGCGGGAAGGAAGGCGAUAAGGUUAAUAACCUUGUCGAUUGACGUUACCCGCAGAAGAAGCACCGGCUAACUCCGUGCCAGCAGCCGCAGUAAGAC
rnacentral:rRNA from 1 species